AUUGAACGCUGGCGGCAUGCUUUACACAUGCAAGUCGAACGGUAACAGGCCUUCGGGCGCUGACGAGUGGCGAACGGGUGAGUAAUGCAUCGGAACGUGCCCAGUCGUGGGGGAUAACGCAGCGAAAGCUGCGCUAAUACCGCAUACGAUCUGUGGAUGAAAGCGGGGGACCGUAAGGCCUCGCGCGAUUGGAGCGGCCGAUGUCAGAUUAGGUAGUUGGUGGGGUAAAGGCUCACCAAGCCGACGAUCGGUAGCUGGUCUGAGAGGACGACCAGCCAAACUGGGACUGAGACACGGCCCAGACUCCUACGGGAGGCAGAAGUGGGGAAUUUUGGACAAUGGGGGCAACCCUGAUCCAGCAAUGCCGCGUGCAGGAAGAAGGCCUUCGGGUUGUAAACUGCUUUUGUACGGAACGAAACGGCUCUGGUUAAUACCUAGGGCUAAUGACGGUACCGUAAGAAUAAGCACCGGCUAACUACGUGCCAGCCGCCGCAGUAAGAC
rnacentral:rRNA from 1 species